rnacentral:piRNA from 1 species
UGCAAAGAUGCUGUGAGGCUAGGAG